AAAGUAUGACUUGAAAUAAAGAAAGCUUUACUUUGGAAAAAAACUUGUCAAAACUAAAAUUUUACUUUUCGGCUUCAAACGAAAAAACCCCUCUAAGUGACCCACUAAAUCUAGACUCAACAUAAUACUUUCCUUUCCCUCACCAAAAUCACAAGAUUUAGCCCGAAAAGGAGACUACUCAUGGAGUCGGGUCAGAAGGAAACAAGAUCUAACCGGAAACUUUGUCAAAAAUCUUAGAGAAUGUGAUGGAUAAGACCGGAAUAAAUGGUCUACCCUAACAAAUUUGAAAUGAAUGUCGGAGAUGGCCGAAAAAAUCUGCUGAAGAAGUGGAUGCCGGAAAACGGGACCAGAAAAGAUGAUCGGAAAAAUCUGCGGGAGUAGUGACAGCUGGAAAAAGCAAUGGGAAAAAGUAUUUGAGUCUCUACCGAAAUUGUAGAGGCUGUGAUACCAUGUGAAUUAUGUAAGUGAUUUCACUUUUUACUUCAAAAGAUAGAUUACACCUAGAAUAUAUACAGCUAGAAACAUAAUUCAAAAGUGUAUCCCUAAGAUCAUGGCGUUUACCCACAAUCUUUGACUAUACCAUCAUACACAAUCUAACAUACAAUCUAAUAUUGAAAUACUAUCUCUCAAGAUCUAAGUCUUAACAAUGCAAUUUAUGCAAAAGCGACAGCAUCAUUGCACAAAGGCGAAUCUAGGAUUUAAGUUUUAUGUAUUUAACUUUUAAGAUUUUUAACAUUAAACCCAUUAUAUUUUUAAAGUUAUGGGUAGCUAGCUAUAUAUUAUAUUAUUAAUAAAUUUUUACACAUAAAUUUAUGCUCCGCGUAAGAAGUAUCGAGUUCAGUUGAAUGCGAUGUUGAUACAUUGUGUCCUCCUCUGGCACUGCGUGUUUGGGUUCUUCCAAACAGGUAAUUACUGCAGGAUGCUGCCAUACUGCUAACAGAGUUUUUCAUGUACAAUAUAAUGCCUUAGUCAUGAAGUCUUGUGUACUGAACUGUAUUAAAGACAUAACCUUAAUGUUUCAGAUUUUAUCUGUUUGCGUUUCCAUAUACUUUCUUAAUGACCUCGUACAAAGUGAUCAUGUCAAUGAUUCAAAAGACAUGCAAACUGGCAACAGUAGAUUUUAUCAGCCAACUAUGAUUUAUCAGUGGCUUCCACACUAGUCUUUGAAUCACAAGGGUCAAUAUAUCUCCAAAAGAAACCUAAUGUACUGCCCAUUAUGUUCAUAAUAACUGCUGACAUUGCAGGAGGUAAUGCAACCAACGGGGAUGCAAAAUGAGCGGUCGCUAGAACCACUCCCAAGGAGGAAUUCUGCAUGCCAACCUGCAAGGGAAUACAGAAAGGAAGUGAAAUACUGUUGCUGCAUAUGUCGAUCACUAUAGAAAAAUCAAUUUAAGGAGCAGGGAAAUGAAAACUAAAUCUUUCUUGAAAUAUGUUUAAUAAGGAAUCGUAAGCCGUUUUCCAGGUUUUAGUUCAAAUUGGCUGUAGGUUUCAUACAAGUGGAGGCUAUAGCAGGAACAAAAGGACAAAAACUGCAGAUAAAAAUGUCAGCAGCAGCUAGUAGUUUUCACUUUUUGUAGCAGCGACUAAGUCAUGUAAAAAAUUUGCUUAUGCCCUCAUAAACUGGAAGCCAUAUUCUACCUUUCUGAAUAUAAUAUUUGCCCCAAUGAGAGGUGAUGUAUUUUAGAUGACAAAACAUUAAAAAGUACUCCCUCCAUUGCUAAUUGAAUGUCUACAUAGACUACAAUGUCCAGUGUCUGCUGAAUUUUACUUAGCUCAUAGUCAUAGCCAAAAUGAGUCAAAGUUUAUAGAACGUAUAUAUAUGCUACAUAGAAUAAAAUGCCAAAGGACAGGAAGUUUUGAGUCCAU
rnacentral:lncRNA from 1 species